GGAAGUUAGUUUGUGGUUUCAGUUCGUGCUGGGAAUUGAACCCAGGUCCUCUUGAAGAGCAUCCAGUGCUCUUAACCGCUGAGACAUCCCUCCAGCCCCAAGUGAAGUCAUUUUCAAAAACUUUCUUUUCCAGCCCAGCUUGGCUUUUUAUUUGUGCCAGUAGAAGAACGAGAAAAACUGUCCUUUUUUAAAGAGAAAUCUGUAAAAAUGCCUGGAUUGAUGGGUAUGGGCUACUAGCAUUUAAUCGGAGCCUCUGAGGGCAGAAGCGGGUGGAUCUCUCCAAGUUCAAGGCCCACCUGAAUUAUGUGUAGUGAGACCUUGUCUAAAUAAGAAAGAAAAGAAUUUAAAUGUCUAGAUAAUAAGGAUUCAGAAAUGGCAGCUGGGCGGGGUGGCAUAUACCCGUAAUGCUAACACUUGAGGGGUGGAGGCAGGAGGAUCAGUUCAAAGCUGACUGGGGUUACACAAGAUCCCACCUCAAAAACAGAAGAGCAGGGCUGGAGAGGUGGCUCAAUGGUUACUGCUUUUCCAGAGGACCUGGGUUCACUACUACUAAGUCAGCCAUCUUUAACUCCAGUUCCUCGGGACCUGAUGUCCCCUGCUGGCCUCCAUGGAUAUUGCAUGCAUACGGUGCACGGACACAUGCAGAGAAAAUACCUAGGCAUAUAAAUCAAGUAAUCUUUACAACGUUUAAAAAAAAAAAACAACAACAACAGAGAAGUAACAUGAUAAUGUGAAUUUAUUUAGUGCUGGGAUACAGCCAGGGCCUGAAUUAGACUUUGUAGAAGCUGGUUGGUGUAUGAAGGUCACACGAGAGGACGCUCAGUGUCGGGCAAGUGUGGAAGUUCUGUACUGUUCUUAUUCCAUCAGCUAAGAUUUUUUUCCAAAAUAAAACGUUUAUUAAAAGC
rnacentral:lncRNA from 1 species